UUGUUGGCGGGGUAACGGCCCACCAAGGCGACGACGGGUAGCCGGUCUGAGAGGAUGACCGGCCACACUGGAACUGAGACACGGUCCAGACACCUACGGGUGGCAGCAGUCGAGAAUCAUUCACAAUGGGCGAAAGCCUGAUGGUGUGACGCCGCGUGGAGGAUGAAGGUCUUCGGAUUGUAAACUCCUGUCAUGAGAGAGUAAAGCCGGGGGAGGAAAUGCCCGCCGGUUUGAGAGUAUCUCAAGAGGAAGAGACGGCUAACUCUGUGCCAGCAGCCGCGGUAAUACAGAGGUCUCAAGCGUUGUUCGGAAUCACUGGGCGUAAAGGGUGCGUAGGCGGCGCGGAAAGUCGGGGGUGAAAUCCCGGGGCUCAACCCCGGAACUGCCUUCGAUACUCCCGCGCUCGAGUGCUGGAGGGGAGUCCGGAAUUCACGGUGGAGCAGUGAAAUGCGUGGAUAUCGUGAGGAACACUAGUGGCGAAGGCGGGACUCUGGACAGUCACUGACGCUGAGGCACGAGGGCCAGGGGAGCAAACGGGAUUAGAUACCCCGGUAGUCCUGGCAGUAAACGGUGCACGCUUGGUGUGGGGGAAAUCGACCUCCUCCGUGCCGAAGCUAACGCGAUAAGCGUGCCGC
rnacentral:rRNA from 1 species